rnacentral:lncRNA from 1 species
AAAUUCCUGAACUAACUCAUCAUCUUAAUUUAGCCUUAUAUCACAAAACACUUCCCACUUUAGAGCUUCAACAACUUUUUGAAUGUUCAUCAUGAAAUCAGUGUAGUUACUUUUUCCCAAAGUAAAACCUUUCUCUGGAAGCAUUUGUUUUUGGUUAAAUAUGCUCCUGUAUCUUGCAUAAACUUCUUCAUAAUGGAAUUUUUUG